UCUUCUCCUUUCAGCUCCCACCCUGGAGGCCGGUCACCGAGGGCCUUUGAGGACAAAGUGGAGUUUCCAAAGGCCAGAGCUGCAAGCUUCACAGACACAGCUGCAGCCAGGCACCCAGGUGACCAGUUAUCUGCUGCUGCAGCUGGACCAGUUGGACUGUGGUGACGGCAAAGCCAGGCUUGGCCUUUGCUCCACCACCUGGAGCUUUAGAGCCCACGGUCUCUUCAGAAAUCAGUGGCCGCUCUUCCAAGGACUGGGUUUCGAUGCUUCCCUCAGAGGAAAGAAACCUCCCAAGCUGGAGGGUGAUGCUCUUGAGGGCUCAGCUGCCUUAAGUGCCCAGAAACAGAAGAUUAUCAAAAGAAAACUGCUCUUCAACAAGUGGAGGAUAACAUGCAAUUUCCCCAGCCUUCAGCUGAGGGUACUGAGAUACCAAGAUCUCUGGAACUAAGGAAAGAUAUUACUGAUUUGAAAGAAACCGCAUCACAAAAAGUACCAUUUUCACUUGAU